AUGCGGAGGGUGCAAGCGUUAUUCGGAAUCACUGGGCGUAAAGGACGCGUAGGCGGGUUGGCAAGUCAGAUGUGAAAUCCUACAGCUUAACUGUAGAACUGCAUUUGAAACUGCUAACCUAGAGUAUGGGAGGGGGAGAUGGAAUUAGUGGUGUAGGGGUAAAAUCCGUAGAUAUCACUAGGAAUACCGAAAGCGAAGGCGAUCUCCUGGAACAUAACUGACGCUAAGGCGUGAAAGCGUGGGGAGCAAACAGGAUUAGAUACCCCUGUAGUCC
rnacentral:rRNA from 1 species